UGGACGAAGACAGAGAAGUGGAGUAUGACCAUGUAUCAUUGUAGUGAGGAUGUACCUCCAGCGAGGGAGAGCAAGAGUUUGAGUGAAGCUCACAGGAACAAAAGCAAGUUGUAGAAGUAGUGCAAGACACAAGAUAAGUUACUCGCCAAGUGCUUCAAGACUAUCAAGUUUCUAACUAACAAGCUAAGCUGCUACUCUUCCACUACAUCUAUUCCA